AUUGAACGCUGGCGGCAGGCCUAACACAUGCACGUCGAGCGGAGCGGCGGACGGGUGAGUAAUGACAAGGAAUUUGCCUGGUAGUGGGGGAUAAAGAGCGGCAACGGGCGCUAAUACCGCAUACUAUCAGAUGAGCCUAGGUCGGAAUGGCUGGUUGGUGGGGUAAAGGCCGACCAAGGCGAAGAUCCGUAACUGGUCUGAGAGGAUGAUCAGUCACACUGGAACUGAGACACGUGCCAGACUCCUACGGGAGGCAGCAGGGGGGAAUAUUGGACAAUGGGCGAAAGCCUGCUCCAGCCAUGCCGCGUGUGUGAAGAAGGUCGUCGGAUUGUAAAGCACUUUAAGUUGGGAGGCGUUACCAACAGAAUAAGCACCGGCUAACUUCGUGCCAGCAGCCGCGGUAAUAC
rnacentral:rRNA from 1 species